CGGCGGACGGGUGAGUAACGCGUGGGUAACCUGCCUCGUACAGGGGGAUAACAGUUGGAAACGGCUGCUAAUACCGCAUAAGCGCACAGCUUCGCAUGAAGCGGUGUGAAAAACUCCGGUGGUACAAGAUGGACCCGCGUCUGAUUAGCUGGUUGGUGAGGUAACGGCCCACCAAGGCAACGAUCAGUAGCCGGCCUGAGAGGGUGAACGGCCACAUUGGGACUGAGACACGGCCCAA
rnacentral:rRNA from 1 species